UUUGUUUAGUUAUUAUAAUAAUAUAAACUAUGAAUAAUAUAAAUUAAUAUCUACUGAUUAUUUAUUACUUCUUAUAAUAGAGGACAGUCCAUAAGCAACAAAUGUUUCGCAAAUCGUGGUAAGUACACUUUGAAUAGAUUAUUUUUUUUAAAAAAAACAAAGGUUUUAGAGGUCUUAACACGAACAAAUUAAUCGCUUUUUUGAGAACUACUGUCUAUUGAUGAUUUUUUAAAACCGAAACCUGUAGUAAACACGCAAGUAGUAGAAAAAUGGGGUACCUCGCACUGACAGAUAUUUUCAGUUUUAAAAACUAAUUUCAGAUCUCAAUUUACAUUGUUUUCUUAUUGUUCUCUGUUCACAUAAUUAUAUUAAAAGAGUAAUUGUAAUGUUAUAACUUUCGAAAUAGGAAGUCCUGAUAGUUUUAUCAAUAAUCAACGUCCAAAAUAUCAAGAUAUCACAUCAAGAUUUUCCCAUAUUAGGUGUGUAUCUCACACCUAAUAAAUUUAAAAAUGCAACACCAAUGUACGUAUUAAAUCUUACUAGACGACCGGACAAUGUUAGUGGAAAUAGAUAUAAUAUUAUUUUGAAUGCAAAAUUUAAUGAGGAUGUACCAAAUUGUACAAUUCGCUAUAUUAGUUUAGUUUCAACUUCUGAAUUUACAUACAAUAUUUUUAAUAACGCAAUUACAAUAUCUAAUAAUAAAAAUAUUUUUCAAUAGAAAUAUUGAAUUAAGAAAAAAAAUGGAUUUAUUAUGUUAAUAAAUAUGGACAAAGAAUUUUUAUGACCAAUAUACUGUCACAAAAGAAAACUAAAAUUUUAAACCAAUCAAGGUUUAAAUAACAAUUGGAUUUCGGAAAAUUUCAACACAAUGUUUAAAAUAUAAANGACGACCGGACAAUGUUAGUGGAAAUAGAUAUAAUAUUAUUUUGAAUGCAAAAUUUAAUGAGGAUGUACCAAAUUGUACAAUUCGCUAUAUUAGUUAUACUGUCACAAAAGAAAACUAAAAUUUUAAACCAAUCAAGGUUUAAAUAAUAAUUGGAUUUCGGAAAAUUUCAACACAAAGUUUAAAAUAUAAAACAAACAAAAGUAAAUUUAUUAAAUCACCUUUAGGAAAAGAUACAAUAUCUAAAAUAAAAUACGAAAAAAUAUCAGAACAAGAUAAUCUAAGUAAUGCAAAAGGACUUCAUAAAAUAGUAAGAUCCCGAUUUACAAAAAGGAGAAUAAAUACACAAGGUAUCAAUAAAUUAUGGGCUACUUGAAUGUUAUAGAUACUUUUUCAAAAUUUGAACGGGCUGAACCUCCUAAACAGAAAGAUGGGAAAAAUGUUACAAAAUCUUUUGAAGAAAUAAUAAAAAGAGCUAAAUUACAGGAACACAGUUCUCCAAUAUUACUUUACACUAAAAAAGGAACAGAGUUUGUUAACAAACAAUUUAUAGAAUGUCAAUAAAAUACAUCAUAAAAUUAUAUCAUAUACAAAAUUAUGAGAAUUCUGCAAUUAUUAAACGUUUCAACAGAAAUUUAAAUACUAAAAUGAGAAUACAGUUUGAAUUUCAAAAAAAUAAAAGAUUCAUUGAUAUUUUACAAGAUUUAUUCAAUGAAUAUAGUGUCAAAGAUAUUCAUCGAACAUUUGGAAUGAUACCAUUCAAAGUAAACAAAUAUAAUGAAGAAAAAGUUUUUAACUAAAUUAUUCCCUAAUGAAAUAUCUAAAGAAGAUGUAUUUUUGGCUAAGGAUUCUGAUUGGAUAUUUAACCAGGUUAUAAAUAUAAACAUAAAUAUGUAUAGUUAUAAAUUACUUAAUGGAGCAUCAUAUAUUAAAUUACCAAAAAAGAUAUCUGAUAUAAAAGCUAUUACCAAUAUUGUGAAUAAAGAUAAUAAAUAUUUUCUUUAGUCAAUUCUUGCCACUUUACAUCCAGUGACAAAAAAUGCAAACAGGGUUAGUAAUUAUUAUAUAUGAGAAAAUUAAUUAACUAUAUUAAAUGAACAGAUACAGAUUCUUUAUUAUUAAAAAUUAUAACUGAUGACAUUUAUACAAACGUAAUCAAUAAUGAACAAUUUUAAAUGAAUUUUAUUUUUCAGAUUAUCCUGGAUUAAGAUCUAAUUUAUAUAUAUUUAAAGUAUUUAAAAAUGUAAAUGAAAUUAAAAAGGCCAAAGGUGUGAAAAAACCCAUAGUUAAAAUUAAUUAUGUUUCAAUGAUUUUUAAAAUUGUUAAAAAGAAAAUUCCAAAACAUGUAAAACAUAACACUUUUAAACCGAUAAACAUAAUAUUUAUUGUUGAACAAAACAAUAAAGCUCUGAUGCAUCUGAUGCAUCUGAUGAUAAAAGACAUAUUCUGGAAAAUGAUAUUGAUACUGAAUCUUGGGGAAAUUAUUCAACAACAAAAAAAUAAAGAGAAAAUUUCUAAGAUCACCUUAAUAAUUUAAUAAAAACAAAUAUUAAAAAAGAAUAAUACAUUUAAUACAAGUUAUUUUUGAGAAAUGAUCUAUUGCAUGCGCAAUGCUUAAUUUAUUAUAUUUUAAAUUUUUUUUUUAAGAGAACUGUUUUAGCACAAUGUUUAUGUGAAAAUAGUUUUUCUAAGCUCUUUAAAAAUAAUAAGUAUAUACUUCCCUUGUUGUGAUACAAUUUUUUUUAAUAUUAUUAAAGUAAGUUUUUUAAAUUUUUUUUCAUAUAAUUGUGUGAACUAAUAAUAAUAUGGAAACAAGAUGAACAGAGAUCUGAAAUUAUGUUUUCAAAGUAAAAAUAUCUGGCUGCUCCAGGAUCCCCAUUUUUCUACAACACACACAACAAUAUAUAAUAUUAUAGGCUUUUUGUUGAUAAUUUAGAUUAUCUGUUUAGUUAAAUUGUUUGUGCUGUUUAUAUAAUAUUAUCAUAAUCCUGAUAAUAUUAAAAUAACUUAACAGUGGCAUAUAUAGGAAGGGGCACAGUGGGCCAUAGACCCUCCUCCUAUGAGAAUUGUAAUCAUCUCGCACAGUGAAAAUUGUUUUUAAUAUUAUCUAUUUAAUGAAUUAAAUUUAUGAUGCCUUUAUUAUUGAAAUAUACAUUUUAUUUUUUAAAUAAUUAUUUGUAUGGGCCUAAUAGAGGUACGCAUGCAAAACAAAUGACCAAUAUAUUACUUGAUAUUUAUAGUAAAUACUAUUUUAUGUAUUUCUGUGAAAUGUGAAAUACAUUUAAGCUGAAAUAAUUUUUAUACAAAUAGUAGUUACUGUAACAUUAUUUGUUUUUUUUUUUUGUUUUACUUUAGCGCCACACAAGACCCAAAGUCUCAAUUUUAUUACAGCAAUAUUACCAUAUAAGAGUUUAAAUACAUAAAUUUAAUGAACUGGAAUAAACAUAGUAGCACAAGAUUGUAUUCACUAUAUCGGAUUCAAACUUUAUUUGAUAAUUUAUUAUUAAGGU